rnacentral:rRNA from 1 species
UACGGAGGGUGCAAGCGUUAAUCGGAAUUACUGGGCGUAAAGGGUGCGUAGGCGGUUCGUUAAGUCUGUUGUGAAAUCCCCGGGCUCAACCUGGGAAUGGCAAUGGAUACUGGCUAGCUAGAGUGUGUCAGAGGAUGGUGGAAUUCCCGGUGUAGCGGUGAAAUGCGUAGAGAUCGGGAGGAACAUCAGUGGCGAAGGCGGCCAUCUGGGACAACACUGACGCUGAAGCACGAAAGCGUGGGGAGCAAACAGG